rnacentral:tRNA from 1 species
GGAGCUGUAGCUCAGCUGGUUAGAGCGCUUCCCUGUCACGGAAGAGGUCGCGGGUUCGAGUCCCGUCAGCUCCG